UUUGGUCAUGCUCUGUCAUUUUCACUUUAUUUCAUUCAAUCGUUUCUUCUCUUUUUUGUGUAGUUAAAUGAGGCGAUGAGUUGUUUUGUAUAUUUAUUUUAGACUAGCCUAAAUUAAAAUAUUUUAUAAAAAUGAAAACGGCUCUUAUGGUGGCAGAAAAGCCAUCGUUAGCCCAGAAUCUUGCUACUAUACUUAGUAAUGGCAAAUGUACAACCAAUAAAGGUUCGAACUCUGCUUGUGCUGUACAUGAAUGGAACGGGACAUUUAAAAAUGAACCAGUACGUUUUAAAAUGACGUCUGUAUGUGGACAUGUAAUGAGUUUAGAUUUCACGGGUAAAUACAAUAAUUGGGACAAAGUUGAUCCUGUCGAGUUGUUUAGCUGUCCGACAGAGAAGAAGGAAGCUAUGCCUCGUUUGAGAAUACCAGCGUUUUUAUCGCAAGAAGCAAGAGGUUGUGAUUACCUUGUAUUAUGGCUUGAUUGUGAUAAAGAAGGGGAAAAUAUAUGCUUUGAGGUUAUGAACUGCGUUCAGUCCUAUAUGAAAGGGGAUGUCUAUACAUCUCAAGUUACAUAUCGCGCUCAUUUCUCUGCUAUUACAGAAAAGGAUAUCAAAGCUGCCAUGCUUAACCUUGGUCGUCCCAAUGAGAAUGAAUCUCGAAGUGUUGAUGCUCGGCAGGAGCUUGAUUUACGAAUUGGAUGUGCAUUCACUCGGUUUCAGACUAAGUACUUUCAAGGCAGAUAUGGUGAUCUGGAUGCUUCACUUAUAUCUUAUGGUCCAUGUCAGACACCAACCCUUGGAUUUUGUGUACAACGACAUGAUGAGAUACAAACUUUUAAGCCUGAGACCUACUGGGUGCUUAGAGUAACAGCUUCCACAUCUGAGGGAAGGGAACUGCCUCUAGAGUGGAAGAGAGUUCGAAGUUUUGAAAAAGAUAUAGCUAAUAUGUUCCUGGCUGGAAUAAAAGAAAUUAAAGAAGCCACAGUUACCAAUAUACAGGCAAAAGAGAAAGUGAAGCCUCGACCAGCUGCUUUAAAUACAGUGGAGCUGAUGAGAGUGGCCAGUGCAGGGUUGGGUAUGGGUCCCCACCAUGCUAUGCAGAUUGCAGAGCGUCUAUACACGCAAGGUUACAUAUCAUAUCCACGUACAGAAACAACUAGCUACUCUGAAAAUUUCGAUUUGAUUGGCACACUUCGUCAGCAGCAAAACUCUACGAAAUGGGGCGCGGAGGUGCGCGCGCUUAUCGCAAAUGGAAUAAACAAACCCAAGAAGGGCCACGACGCCGGUGACCAUCCUCCUAUCACACCUAUGAGGCCAGCUUCCGAGAGUGAACUAGAGGGCGACAUGUGGCGUAUCUACGACUACGUGACGCGACAUUUCAUCGCAACGCUGUCGCGCGACUGCAAGUACCUCAGCACGACCAUCACCUUCCAAAUAGGCACCGAGACCUUCUACUAUACCGGGAACACGCUAGUCGAUGCCGGCUAUACUGAGAUUAUGCAUUGGCAGGCAUUCGGCAAGGACGAGUUCGUGCCGCCGCUUCAAGUGGACGACAUACUGCGCGCCCACGACCAUCGACUGGUGGAGUGUCAGACCUCGCCGCCGGACUAUCUCACCGAGUCAGAGGUGAUAACGUUGAUGGAGAAGCAUGGUAUAGGCACGGACGCGUCCAUUCCAGUGCACAUCAACAAUAUCUGCCAGCGGAAUUACGUGACGGUGGGUAGCGGGCGUCGACUCGUGCCCACCAACCUUGGGAUUGUGCUCGUACACGGAUAUCAAAAGAUCGAUCCAGAACUGGUAUUGCCGACAAUGCGUUCAGCCGUUGAAGAACAAUUGAAUCUUAUAGCUGUCGGCCGGGCGGACUUCCACGCUGUGUUAGCGCACACAACUGAGAUAUUCCGUAGAAAGUUCCAGUACUUUGUACGCUCCAUAGAAGCGAUGGACCAGUUGUUCGAAGUUAGCUUCUCGUCUUUGAAGGCUAGUGGCAAAGCGCUGUCUCGAUGCGGGAAAUGUCGGCGGUACAUGCGAUACAUUCAAGCAAAGCCAGCUCGCCUGCAUUGUUCCCACUGCGACGACACGUACGGACUACCACAGAAUGGUACUGUUCGUAUCUAUCGGGAACUCAAGUGUCCACUUGACGACUUCGAGCUUCUAUCCUGGUCCUCGGGCAACAAAGGGAAGAGCUUCCCCCUCUGUCCGUACUGCUACAAUCACCCACCGUUCAGGGAUAUGAAGAAAGGCUUCGGCUGCAACUCGUGCACCCACCCCACGUGCCCGUACGGUGUAAACUCGACCGGUGUAUCCGGCUGUGUCGAGUGUGAGGCGGGCGUCCUUGUAUUAGACCCUGCUGCGCCCAAGUGGAAGCUAGCCUGCAACCGGUGCGACGUGAUAAUCAACAUCUUCGAGGACGCGUCGCGCGUGACUGUUUGCGAGCAGCAGUGCAGCGCGUGCGGCGCCCAGCUGGUCAGCGUGGAGUACCGCGCCGACCGCACGCGCCUGCCCGCCGCGCUCACCGAGAUGACCGCCUGCCUCUACUGCGAGCCCAGCUUCAGUGCACUCGUGGAGAAGCACCGUGCUGUAGCGGCUCGGGCGCCAGCGGGGCGAGGCGGCCGUGGCGGGAGGGCCCGUCUCAACAAGCAUCGCAACAAACAGCCCAAGGAUAAGAUGGCGCAGCUCGCUGCAUACUUCGUAUAGGAGACAUGCAACAGGCCACAACACAUACGUCAUGUUUCAACAUUUUUCAGAAGUAUUUAAGACUUCCAGGAUCGAGGUCGGAGAGGAAGGCCUGCACGCCAGGCGCUGGGGCUCUGGGUGAUUCGUCCCCAUCUU
rnacentral:misc_RNA from 1 species